GGCCGACUAGCUCAGCUGGUUAGAGCGUCGUGCUAAUAUGCGCUUAGUGUUAACGCGAAGGUCUUGGGUUCGAUCCCCACGUUGGCCA